AACAACACCUACUUUAAAAAAUAUUACAACCGCGACCCCUUCGUGGAUCUAAUAAUUAAAUAUCUUAUAAGUCUCUAAAAAUGCUGAAAAAAAUAGACUACUUAGUUCACCUCACAAUCACUCAACAGGAAAAAUAAUAAUUGAAAAACAGCUCUAGAACAUCCUGGAAAAAAUUGCGCAAAACGAGGAAAAUUCCCUGCCUGGAACUCGACUCGAGAUGGUUAUAGGCCAAUCUGAAUUCGACUUGAGAUCGGGUCCAAGUUGAACCGGUAACUUUCAGGAAAAAUUCAUGAACGCGCGACUUUCUUAAAAAUUUGAUUUUAACUCCGUUUUUCGAGCUUUUUU
rnacentral:lncRNA from 1 species